UAUCGUGCAAUCGGGUCAUGAGGGCUGC
rnacentral:piRNA from 1 species